rnacentral:SRP_RNA from 1 species
GCCAGGCAUGGUGGUGCAUGCCUGUAGUCCAAGCUACUCUGGAGGCUGAGGCAGGAGAAUUGCUUGAACCUGGGAGGCAGAGGUUGCAGUGAGCCAAGAUCGUACCACUGCACUCCUGCCUGGGUGACAGAGCGAGACUCUGUCUCAA